rnacentral:lncRNA from 1 species
GGGCCGGUUUCCCCUGUGCUGUUCUCGUGAUAGCGAGUGAGUUCUCACGAGAUCUGAUGGUUUUAUAAGCGUCUGGCCUUUCCCCUGCUGGCGCUCAUUCUCGCUUUUGCUGCCCUGGGAAGUGGUGUCUUCUGCCAUGAUUGUAAGUUUCUUGAGGCUUCCCCAGCCAUGUGGAACUGUGAGUCAAUUAAACCUGUUUUCUUUAUAAAUUACCCAGUCUAGGGUAUUUCUUCAUAGCAGCGUGAGAGCAGACUCACAAACAUCUUUGCUAUUAUCUUUUUUCAUUUUUUGAAACAGAGUCUCACUCUGUCACCCAGGCUAGAGUGCAGUGGCACAAUCGCAGCUCACUGCAACUUCUGUCUCCGGGGUUCAAGCAAUUCUCGUGCCUCAGCCUCCUGAGUAGAUGGGAUUACAGGUGUGCACCACUAUGCCCAGCUAAUUUUUGUAUUUUUAGUAGAGACAGGGUUUUGCCAUAUUGGUCAGGCUGGUCUUGAACUCCUGGCCUCAAGUGAUCUGCUCCCUCCCCCCGCCCUGGCCUCCCAAAGUGCUGGGAUUACAGGCGUGAGCCACCGCACCUGGCCCCCUUUGCUGUUAUCUUGAUUAGACGUUAUGAACAACUGGAGCAAGAGGUAGAGAGCUGUGGCUGUUCCUCUCUGCAGCAUAGGAAGAAUAGCUUUGGAUUUCAGAUGAGGGUGGGUGCAGCCCCGGUAACGCUGGUGAAGGGUGGGUGGGCCCAGGGCAGUGGAGCAAGAGUGAAGGAGAGUGCUGAGGUCAAAGCACCUACCACAAAGGGAAGCGUAAUGUAGAUUUUUUUUCCUUUUGGAAGAAAAAAGAAGUUGAGUGAAGAGAAAAUUCUGAUGUAGCAUUGGAUGAUUUUUAAAGGGUUAAACAGCUCAGCUUUGAGAAGGAAAAUCAAGAUUUCAUUCUUACCCUUUGCAAAUGCUCCUUUAGUGGCUGGUGAUGGAUAGCAGAUUUCUAUGACCUGGCUUAUGUGCUCUCAAAUCUAGUAGCUGCAAGUUCAUGGUAAGAUGUAAAAUGUUAAGAUGAGUUCCAGAUAGGUGGUACUUUGCCAAUGUAGGACGCUGGUGUUCUCCAUGAACUCAGCUUGGCAUAUUUUUUUCCUCAAGCAUUUCACAGUCUAUUAGAGUAAACGUCAUUUUAAAAAAUAAUAGGAGCCAAGGGUUCUGGAGCAGACAGCUCUGAGUUCAAAUCCUGGUGCUGCCCUCAUUACUAGGUGACUGCUGUGGUCUGAAUCCUUGUGUCCCCCCUAAAAUUCGUAUGUUGAAACCUAAUCACCAAUGUAAUGGUAUUUGGAGGUGGGGAACUUUGGGAGGUGAUUAGUCAUGACGGAUCUGCCCUUAUGAAUGGGAUUAGUGCCCUUAUAAAAGAGGCCCAAGGGAACUGCCUUGCCUCUUCCACUGUGUGAGGACACAGGAAAGGUGCCAUCUCUGAACCAGAAAAGUGGGACCUCACCAGACACCGAAUCUGCUGACGCCCAGCCUCCAGAACGGUCUCAUGUGAUGUGUUUCUGUGCGGCUGCUGGCCCAACCUCUUGACUCUCCUCUCUGCCAAAUACCAAGGCCAGCUCUGUCUCCUUUUGACCUCCGAAGCUGUGGAUACAGUGAAUCACUUUUUCUCCUAAUUGUCUCCUCUAUUCUUGGCAGACUUCCUUAAAAGAAAAAAAUCAAUCGCAAGAUUAAUAUUAACCACAAAGGACAUGUUUUUCUACUUUUUUUUUUACAUCUGAUUUUUCAAUCUCAAUCGAUUCAGUUUGUUGCAACUACAAUAGAUGAUGGUUAAAUAUUAGAGGCAGGAGCUUGGUGGCAAAGGCAUAUUGAUAGAAUUUAUAUCAAAUACUGAAGUUUGCAACAUAAAAAUGAAUCACUUUAUUAUUUCCUAUAGACAUGCAGCUGCUCAAAACAGCAUGCUCCCAGGUCACAAAUGCGUGUAUCGAUUAGCAUAUAACACAUGCCUAUUGGCCUUGAGCUAAGCAUCCAGGACUCUAUGGCCCUUGUCCCCCAGGAGGAGGAAAUUCAAGCAAAAGUCUUUGGUUCUCACUGCAACAACAUCCAUGUGUGCGCCCAGCCUGGGAUACCUGGUGUCUUUGGACUCCUGAGAGUUCGUCAUGUUUAUAGCUCUGCAGUAUGCUCCUGAGGACAGAUGCUGUCACUCCAGGUGCUUCUCCACCUGGACAGACAGAUCUCAGUGACAACGCUGAAGAAAUAAAUUUAAAAAGGAAUUGGAGUCCCUGCGCAGUGGCUCACGCCUGUAACCCCAGCACUUUGGGAGGCGGAGGCGGUCGGAUCACGAGGUCAAGAGAUCGAGACCAUCCUGGCCAAGAUGGUGAAAUCUUGUCUCUACUAAAAAUACAAAAAUUAGCUGGGUGUGGUGGCGGGCACCUGUAAUCCCAGCAACUUGGGAGGCUGAGGCAGGAGAAUUGCUUGAACCUGGGAGUCAGAGGUUGCAGUGAGCCGAGAUCGUGCCACCACACUCCAGCCUGGGCGACAGAGCCAGACUCUGUCUAAAAAAACAAAAAGAGAGAGUUUUGAAAUCUUGGUAGAAUAUACUGGUUCCAUGGGAAGCUUUUUGUCUCAAAAAGGACGCUAAACCUUGUAUGUCUUCUUUGGGGCUGACUCCAGCACAAAACCCACUUCCAAUUCACAAAUGUGAAGAGCCAUUUUGUUCCAGGAAAGCCAUGAAGUAAGGUGAAUGCACAUGUUUAGGCUGA